CCCUUAGAUGUUCUGGGCCGCACGCGCGCUACACUGAUGCAUUCAACGAGUUUCUUCCUGGUCCGAGAGGAAUGGGUAACCUUUUGAAAGUGCAUCGUGAUAGGGAUAGACUAUUGCAAUUAUUGGUCUUCAACGAGGAAUUCCUAGUAGACGUAGUUCAUCAGACUGCAUUGAUUACGUCCCUGCCCUUUGUACACACCGCCCGUCGCUCCUACCGAUUGAAUGAUCCGAUGAAUACCAUGGAUUGAGAGUACGAAUAGGUUCGCUUAUUUCUGCUGCUCGAGAAGUGGAGUAAAUCUUAUCAUUUAGAGGAAGGAGAAGUCGUAACA
rnacentral:rRNA from 1 species